rnacentral:tRNA from 1 species
GCGCCCGUAGCUCAGUUGGAUAGAGCGUGGGCCUGCGGAGCCCAAGGUCGUGGGUUCAAGUCCCGCCGGGCGCGCCA